AGUGGGGAAUCUUGCACAAUGGGGGCAACCCUGAUGCAGCGACGCCGCGUGAGCGAUGAAGCCCUUCGGGGUGUAAAGCUCUUUCGGCCCGAACGAUCAUGACGGUACGGGAAGAAGAAGCUGCGGCUAACUACGUGCCAGCAGCCGCGGUAAUACGUAGGCAGCGAGCGUUGUUCGGAGUUACUGGGCGUAAAGCGUGCGUAGGCGGUGUCCUAAGUUUGGUGUGAAAUCUCCCGGCUCAACUGGGAGGGUGCGCCGAAAACUGGGGUGCUGGAGUGUGGGAGAGGUAGGCGGAAUUCCUGGUGUAGCGGUGAAAUGCGUAGAUAUCAGGAGGAACACCUGUGGUGUAGGCGGCUUACUGGACCAUGACUGACGCUGAGGCACGAAAGCGUGGGGAGCAAA
rnacentral:rRNA from 1 species